rnacentral:misc_RNA from 1 species
ACUAUUUAGUUCCUAUAUUUUAACUAAAGUAAUUAUUUAAUAUUUACCUUAAUUCUCUCUAUCUUAUUUUUCUCUUAUAUUUCUUUAUUUCUCUCUCCAUAUUUCUUUCCCUUUACACUCAUUCCUUCCUCUCCCUUAUUCUCUCUUUGUUUUCAUAUACUAAUAAAAACAGUAAAAAAUUAUCUAUACAAAAAGUUAAAUUAAUGUCCUUAAAUUUCUAAUAGUAGAACAAACACAAAAAUAAUGUUUAAA